GAUGAAGAACGUAGCGAAAUGCGAUAAGUAGUGUGAAUUGCAGAAUUCAGUGAAUCAUCGAAUCUUUGAACGCACAUUGCGCCUUCUAGUAUUCUGGGAGGCAUGCCUGUUUGAGCGUCAUUAAACCUCUCUCAAGUAUGAUUACUUGGAUGUGAAGGAAGAGUACCUUAAACUUAAGGAGUGUUCUCCUUGAAAUUGAUUAGCAGAUGGUAAUGUUAUUAAAUCCCUGAUGUUGUAAGAAAUAACAGUGGUUUUGUAGACUAUUAUCUAGCUUUAAAUUAUAACUUUUAUUAUGGUUGACCUCAAAUCAGGUAAGGAUACCCGCUGAACUUAAGCAUAUCAAUAAGCGGAGGA
rnacentral:misc_RNA from 1 species